UCAGUGUCAUGAAGAAACCCAGGCCAACUUACCAGAGGAUGGGUGAUCACAUGGAGGAGAACUGAAGAGUCUCAGCUGGCAUCUAGUACCAACUGCUGCACAUUUGAGUGAGGACAACUUGGACCCUCCGGCCACAGAGAAGCCUUCAGAUAAUCACAGCCUGAAUGAUCCCAGGUCCUUGAUGGGUUCUACAGCAACGGAAGUGGAGAGAGGUUAAUUUUCCAGAAACAUGGCUGCCCUCUCAUUAAUCACCUACUCAAGAAUGUUAGGACCAACACAAUUUCUGCUACUUCUGGAACAUUCCUGAGGACAACAACAAGUUAUUUUAUGUCCAUACCAAGCUGAGGUAUAUUGGUCAUCUGUGUGACUGUCUAAGGUGGCUCAUCUCUAGACAUGCCAUGAAUUCACUGGCUCCAAAUAUGAAACGUUAAGAGACUAGUCA